GGAGCUGUAGGUCAGUCGGUUAGUAUACCGGCCUGUCACGCCGGGGGUCGCGGGUUCGAGUCCCGUCCGCUCCGCCA
rnacentral:tRNA from 1 species